AUUGAACGCUGGCGGCAGGCCUAACACAUGCAAGUAGAACGAGUGGCGGACGGGUGAGUAAUGUCUGGGAACCUCCCCGAAGGAGGGGGAUAACUACUGAAAACGGUACCUAAUACCGCAUACCAUCGGAUGUGCCCAGACGGGGUUAGCUAGUAGGUGGGGUAAAGGCUCACCUAGGCGACGAUCACUAGCGGGUCUGAGAGGAUGACCAGCCACACUGGAACGUAGACACGGCCCAGACUCCUACGGGAGGCAGCAGUGGGGAAUAUUGCGCCAUGGGCGCAAGCCUGAUGCAGCCAUGCCGCGUGUAUGAAGAAGGCCUUCGGGUUGUAAAGUACUUUCAUCGGAGAGGCGUUACCCGCCGAGGAAGCACCGGCUAACUCCGUGCCAGCAGCCGCGGUAAUUC
rnacentral:rRNA from 1 species